GACGAACGCUGGCGGCGUGCCUAAUACAUGCAAGUAGAACGCUGAAGCGAGGAGCUUGCUCUUCUUGGAUGAGUUGCGAACGGGUGAGUAACGCGUAGGUAACCUGCCUUGUAGCGGGGGAUAACUAUUGGAAACGAUAGCUAAUACCGCAUAACAAUGGAUGACACAUGUCAUUUAUUUGAAAGGGGCAAUUGCUCCACUACAAGAUGGACCUGCGUUGUAUUAGCUAGUAGGUGAGGUAACGGCUCACCUAGGCGACGAUACAUAGCCGACCUGAGAGGGUGAUCGGCCACACUGGGACUGAGACACGGCCCAGACUCCUACGGGAGGCAGCAGUAGGGAAUCUUCGGCAAUGGGGGCAACCCUGACCGAGCAACGCCGCGUGAGUGCAGAAGGUUUUCGGAUCGUGAAGCUCUGUUGUAAGUCAAGAACGAGUGUGAGAGUGGAAAGUUCACACUGUGACGGUAGCUUACCAGAAAGGGACGGCUAACUACGUG
rnacentral:rRNA from 1 species